UACGGAGGGUGCGAGCGUUGUCCGGAAUCACUGGGCGUAAAGGGCGCGUAGGCGGCGCGGGCAGUCAACGGUGAAAGCUUGGGGCUCAACCCCGAGUCGGCCGUCGAUACUCCCGGGCUGGAGCACUGUAGAGGCAGGUGGAAUUCCGGGGUGUAGCGGUGGAAUGCGUAGAGAUCCGGAAGAACACCGGUGGCGAAGGCGGCCUGCUGGGCAGUAGCUGACGCUGAGCGCGACAGCGUGGGGAGCAAACAGG
rnacentral:rRNA from 1 species